UUAACACAUCGGAUUGUGGUUCCGACAUUCGAGGGUUCGAUCCCCUUCAGCCGCCCCAUAAUCGNNNNNNNNNNNGAGGGGCCCCUCUCGGGUUACCGAAUUCAGACAAACUCCGAAUGCCAAUUAAUUUAACUUGGGAGUCAGAACAUGGGUGAUAAGGUCCGUGUUCGAAAGGGAAACAGCCCAGACCACCAGCUAAGGUCCCAAAAUAUAUGUUAAGUGGAAAAGGAUGUGGCGUUGCCCAGACAACUAGGAUGUUGGCUUAGAAGCAGCCAUCAUUUAAAGAGUGCGUAAUAGCUCACUAGUCGAGUGACACUGCGCCGAAAAUGUACCGGGGCUAAACAUAUUACCGAAGCUGUGGAUUGUCCUUUGGACAAUGGUAGGAGAGCGUUCUAAGGGCGUUGAAGCAUGAUCGUAAGGACAUGUGGAGCGCUUAGAAGUGAGAAUGCCGGUGUGAGUAGCGAAAGACGGGUGAGAAUCCCGUCCACCGAUUGACUAAGGUUUCCAGAGGAAGGCUCGUCCGCUCUGGGUUAGUCGGGUCCUAAGCUGAGGCCGACAGGCGUAGGCGAUGGAUAACAGGUUGAUAUUCCUGUACCACCUAUAAUCGUUUUAAUCGAUGGGGGGACGCAGUAGGAUAGGCGAAGCGUGCGAUUGGAUUGCACGUCUAAGCAGUAAGGCUGAGUAUUAGGCAAAUCCGGUACUCAUUAAGGCUGAGCUGUGAUGGGGAGAAGACAUUGUGUCUUCGAGUCGUUGAUUUCACACUGCCGAGAAAAGCCUCUAGAUAGAAAAUAGGUGCCCGUACCGCAAACCGACACAGGUAGUCAAGAUGAGAAUUCUAAGGUGAGCGAGCGAACUCUCGUUAAGGAACUCGGCAAAAUGACCCCGUAACUUCGGGAGAAGGGGUGCUCUUUAGGGUUAACGCCCAGAAGAGCCGCAGUGAAUAGGCCCAAGCGACUGUUUAUCAAAAACACAGGUCUCUGCUAAACCGUAAGGUGAUGUAUAGGGGCUGACGCCUGCCCGGUGCUGGAAGGUUAAGAGGAGUGGUUAGCUUCUGCGAAGCUACGAAUCGAAGCCCCAGUAAACGGCGGCCGUAACUAUAACGGUCCUAAGGUAGCGAAAUUCCUUGUCGGGUAAGUUCCGACCCGCACGAAAGGCGUAACGAUUUGGGCACUGUCUCAACGAGAGACUCGGUGAAAUCAUAGUACCUGUGAAGAUGCAGGUUACCCGCGACAGGACGGAAAGACCCCGUGGAGCUUUACUGUAGCCUGAUAUUGAAAUUCGGCACAGCUUGUACAGGAUAGGUAGGAGCCUUUGAAACGUGAGCGCUAGCUUACGUGGAGGCGCUGGUGGGAUACUACCCUAGCUGUGUUGGCUUUCUAACCCGCACCACUUAUCGUGGUGGGAGACAGUGUCAGGCGGGCAGUUUGACUGGGGCGGUCGCCUCCUAAAAGGUAACGGAGGCGCUCAAAGGUUCCCUCAGAAUGGUUGGAAAUCAUUCAUAGAGUGUAAAGGCAUAAGGGAGCUUGACUGCGAGACCUACAAGUCGAGCAGGGUCGAAAGACGGACUUAGUGAUCCGGUGGUUCCGCAUGGAAGGGCCAUCGCUCAACGGAUAAAAGCUACCCCGGGGAUAACAGGCUUAUCUCCCCCAAGAGUUCACAUCGACGGGGAGGUUUGGCACCUCGAUGUCGGCUCAUCGCAUCCUGGGGCUGUAGUCGGUCCCAAGGGUUGGGCUGUUCGCCCAUUAAAGCGGUACGCGAGCUGGGUUCAGAACGUCGUGAGACAGUUCGGUCCCUAUCCGUCGUGGGCGUAGGAAAUUUGAGAGGAGCUGUCCUUAGUACGAGAGGACCGGGAUGGACAUACCUCUGGUGUACCAGUUGUCGUGCCAACGGCAUAGCUGGGUAGCUAUGUGUGGACGGGAUAAGUGCUGAAAGCAUCUAAGCAUGAAGCCCCCCUCAAGAUGAGAUUUCCCAACUUCGGUUAUAAGAUCCCUCAAAGAUGAUGAGGUUAAUAGGUUCGAGGUGGAAGCAUGGUGACAUGUGGAGCUGACGAAUACUAAUCGAUCGAAGACUUAAUCAA
rnacentral:rRNA from 1 species